UGAAUUUGAUCUUGGUUUUUACUUAGCUAUGACCAGUAAAAACACAUGGUAGUUUUAGCGUAACUGUAAAUUAUAUGUCUUAUUUUUUUAUUUUAAAUAAAUAAUCUAUGUAGAUAUAUUUCUAUCAAAUGGAUUAAUGACAGGAGUUAUUUACAACACCAGUGUUUGAUUUUAAAAAAGAAGGUAAUUUUGUUUUAGAUAUGGUUUUAAAGGGUAGUUAAAUCUGUGCCAGCAACUGCGGUUAAACAGAAGGCCUAAGUUAAGUGUUUAUUGGUAAAAAACAGUUAUAUGUAAUGUGAUUUAAGUUAAAUUCUAUUUUGUAUAGAGGUAAAAUUCAAAUAUAAAAUUUAGAAGCUAAAUGUGGCUGUUAAUAGUGUAGAAGCUGUGACAUUUUCUUUUAAAACUGGGAUUAGAUACCCCAUUAUUGAAAAUUUAAAUUGUUUACCAGGGGAGUACGAACGUGGGUUUAAAAUCCAAAAGAUUUGGCGGUGCUUUAUUUCUUUCUAGGGGAACCUGUCCUUUAAUCGAUAAUCCGCGUUUAACCUUACUUUAUCUAUUUGUUAAUUUAGUUUGUAUACUGCCGUCAUCAGCUUACGCUUGAGGCCAAGGAAGUUAGCUCAAUAAUUUUUAGAUUUUUAUGUCAGGUCAAAGUGCAGCUUAUGAUAAAGUAGAGAUGGGUUACAAUUUCUAUUUGGAUUACUGUAGUUUUAUUGAAAAAUAAAAUGAAUGGAGGACUUAGGAGUAAUGUUUUUUUAGAAUAAAAGCAUGAAUUAGGCUCUAAAGUGUGUACAUAUCGCCCGUCGCUCUCUUUUUAAUAAGAGAUAAGUCGUAACAUAGUAGGGGUAGCUGAAGCUGUUCCU
rnacentral:ncRNA from 1 species